UACGUAGGGUGCAAGCGUUAAUCGGAAUUACUGGGCGUAAAGCGUGCGCAGGCGGUGAUGUAAGACAGAUGUGAAAUCCCCGGGCUCAACCUGGGAACUGCAUUUGUGACUGCAUCGCUGGAGUGCGGCAGAGGGGGAUGGAAUUCCGCGUGUAGCAGUGAAAUGCGUAGAGAUGUGGAGGAACACCAAUGGCGAAGGCAGCCUUCUGGGCCAACACUGACGCUCAUGCACGAAAGCGUGGGGAGCAAACAGG
rnacentral:rRNA from 1 species